AGCCCCUUAGGUGAAGAGGUUUACCUUAUGCCUAUUUUAGCUUAUCACUUUUUCGUCUACCUUUUCACAUAGGUUAUAUUUUGCCCUCUUCCUUUCUUGAAUCCAUUUAAAAUGUGAAAGUACCCGAUUCUUUUCCUGUUUUUAAUCGAUCUGGCCUCUUGUCAAAUCCUCAAAUUUACUCAUAGACCAGUUUCCAUUGAAGCAAGCUUUUUUUUUUUUUGUCGCCGGCCGACCUUUGUCCCUCCCUAAGACAAUCAUCUUCUCCUUAUUCAAAUUCUACCUGAACAGUUAAAGCGAUCUUGCCCAAAAUGAAACUCAUCAUCAUUCUCUUCUCCUGUCUGGCUGUCGCCAUCGCGGCUCCAUCGACAGUCGAUUCUCGUAGCGAUACUGAACCAGCGAUGGUGAAUGCUGCGGGAGAAGUUGUGCCUUUUGAUCCUGCUGGAGUUGUUGUGAAGAUCUAGAAAAGUUUGAAGAAUGUUUACAGAUUGAGAUAUGACGAGAGUAGUGGUGUUGGAUUGGUUAGGAGGGAGCUCUGGUGAUUUGGUUAUGUCUGGAAACCGAGGGGUUGAUUGGUAUUCGUGGUGAUGUUUGUUAUCCGUGGCAUCACAUCGAUCAGGGCGUGCUAAUCUACUUGAAUAUACCUUGCCAAUCGCAUCUGUGUACAGAGAUAUUUUGAAUUUAGAGAUGCGGAAUAUGUAAUUGUUUGGCUGGCCGGGCCAUAUAUCUGCAAAUAGUGGCUUUGAAAGUCCGACAGUCGGAGGUAAUGAAAUUGAGGUCCUGCGCCAACCACAUUCCUUCCCCUGCUGUCGCUUCCUCGUCCAAAUGGUACACGUUUAUUAUGUAUGG
rnacentral:sRNA from 2 species